GGACAUUCAACUAUGUGAGUUAUACAUUUUGAAUGUGCUUUUACGUCAGUGUGACAGAUUCACAAUACCGAGCGUUUCUCAAACGGUCCUGCGGUUUUAUCUGCCUAACGGUAUCUUCACGCACGACUGGAUAGGCCUUUUGGAUACGCUUGUCCAAGGCCCAAGACAUAAAGUAGCCUGCAAUCAUUCCAUUGCUGACCCAUCGGAUGGUUAUCACAUAGAGGAUUGGCUUAAUCUAGAAUCAUGGAUACCUUUCAUAUCUGCGCAUCACAAGUUGGAACUAGUGGUCAAAAUUGGGACAAUGUUGCCCAAAAUAAAUGUUUUCAUGGAGUGAACAAGACCUGCCAACAGAGCUCACUGGAGCAGGGAGAAAUCCCCGUCAUCCCUUCGGCACCUGACAAA